AAUGAACGCUGGCGGCAGGCCUAACACAUGCAAGUCGAGCGGCAGCGGGAAAGUAGCUUGCUACUUUUGCCGGCGAGCGGCGGACGGGUGAGUAAUGCCUGGGAAAUUGCCCAGUCGAGGGGGAUAACAGUUGGAAACGACUGCUAAUACCGCAUACGCCCUACGGGGGAAAGCAGGGGACCUUUGGGCCUUGCGCGAUUGGAUAUGCCCAGGUGGGAUUAGCUAGUUGGUGAGGUAAUGGCUCACCAAGGCGACGAUCCCUAGCUGGUCUGAGAGGAUGAUCAGCCACACUGGAACUGAGACACGGUCCAGACUCCUACGGAGCAGCAGUGGGGAAUAUUGCACAAUGGGGGAAACCCUGAUGCAGCCAUGCCGCGUGUGUGAAGAAGGCCUUCGGGUUGUAAAGCACUUUCAGCGAGGAGGAAAGGUCAGUAGCUAAUACCUGCUGGCUGUGACGUUACUCGCAGAAG
rnacentral:rRNA from 1 species